CACAGCGGGUGCGAGCGUUAAUCGGAAUUACUGGGCGUAAAGCGCACGUAGGUGGCGACGUAAGUCGGGUGUGAAAGCCCCGGGCUCAACCUGGGAAUUGCAUUCGAGACUGCAUUGCUGGAGUACGGAAGAGGAGGGCGGAAUUCCCGGUGUAGCGGUGAAAUGCGUGGAUAUCGGGAGGAACAUCAGUGGCGAAGGCGGCCCUCUGGUCCAGUACUGACACUCAAGUGCGAAAGCGUGGGGAGCAAACAGG
rnacentral:rRNA from 1 species